UGGCGGAAAUUGGUGGGAAAUUGACACGAUCAAAAGAACGAUUACAAACAAAACAAUCAACUGUUCAACCAUCUAUCCAAGUGAAAAAUGAAAAUGUGGACAGUUCCAUGAACAAUCUCGUUUGGAAAGAUCUGAAUGAAGAUCAAGUUGUCUUGUUUAUGUCACUCACGCCACAAGAUCUUGAAAUAAAGCUUGCCGAAUUUCUAUCCCUACAGAGCUGUCACAUAAAUCUGGAAGAAGCCUGCCUCGUAGAUUAUUACGUAUCUGCUUUGUGGUUUGCAAAGCAGGUUCAGUUCACGACAGAACAAACUGCAGCAUUUUUCUCUCUAAUGAAGGUUCUUCUAGAAAAUAUAAAAGGUUCUAAAAAUGUGCUGUUAGUUCAAUCUUACUGUGUUUAUCAUAAUGAAUAGUUUAUAUCUUGUUAUACUUCACUACGCAACAUCAAAAUAUAUUGUUUUAUCUAUAGACAAAAGAAAGUCGCUUUCAGACAAUAUAUGUUUUAUGAAGAAAUAUCUGAUACAAAAAUUACUACCAUCAUCUUUGUAUAGUACCAGGGAGACAAAAUUAAUCAGUAAUUACAUUGUAGAGAGGUAUACACUAUUCUACCAAACUCAGUAUGUACACCUGUUGAUUUAACUGACUUCAAUCAUUUUAUAAAGUCUUUUACAGCACUAUAAACUCUAUCAGUUCUUUUUCAUCACAACAAUCCACAGAGUAUCAUGAUGAAUGCAUCAUCAAAGAAAAUUUGUUAGUCGAAGCACCACCAUUGGCUAGUCUUCCAUUUCCUCCACCACUGGAGGAAGGCUUACCUGAAGAAAUACACAGCAAACAUGUCUUAGGAAUAGAACAGAUGAAUACUUUCAAUGAAACAGAUAUGAAUGGAACACCUGAAGUUAGUGAAGGUAACAAAAAUGCCGAGAAGGAAGAAACAGUUAUAAGUAAUGAGCAAUCGCAACAAGCUCUGCUCACGUCAAUUCCACCAGACAAAAUGAAAAAAGUUUUGAAAGAUGUUUCAGAGUCCAUUCUUAAUGACAUGAAGGUCGGCGUACAGAAGAAGCUAAAAGAACGCGAAUCAACUUUAUUAACAAAAAUAUCAAAGAAAUAAGUUUGAAUUGUAUAAAUUGUAUAUAUAUAAUUGAAGAAUGUGUACAUAUGAUGUAAUUAAAUUAGAUUUUUGUCAAAUAAUCUACUAAUACUAUAAGCAAAAAAAAUUGUAUAAAUGCAAGGAAAUAUUUGUCAAGAAAAA